CUAGCUGGCAGUUAUGUUAGUUAGCGAGUGGCGUUAGCUAGUGGUUAGCGCCAAUGCUAACGUAACAACAGAAGUGCUAUGAAGGUUAAACCAGGCUUGUUUCUGUACACCACACGUUUCAGAAGAAACCGACAACUUGUACAAAGCUUCGUAUCACAGUUUCAGAGAUUUGGGGGGCAGAGCAGCAAGAAGAAAGACCCUUAAUGAAGUGGAGGACUCGAUGGAGUGCCCAAGUCACUGAAUCACUGACUGCUCCAAAUGUCACCCUGACCUCAGACCUCUCUCUGGCAAAGAAAAAGUAAGCCUCCCCUACUUGACCCCGAAAAAGACGUCCUCAUGCUCCCCCCAACACGCAGCCAUUCCAAAUCCUGUUAACGCCGCGAGCCAGCGCCACAAUAACCUACUUUCCACAGUAAUCACACUGGCUGACUGAGGCGUGUGAGGGCGUCAGAGCAACGAUAGAAAAGCAGCAGCAAAUCCUGGUGACAGAGCAUGAGGCUGGAGGGAGGCUGCUGACACUCGGAGAGGGGAGGGGGGGAGCGAAUGUUUUCUUUUGUGUAUUCAAAUCUUAUUUGGAAAAGGAGGAUAUGCAUUUUGCAGCACCAUGUUGCUGUGGCUGCGCUCCAAGCUUCUACCAGAUCUGAGAAAAAAACAGAGGCAGAGGGAUCCAAACAGACUGGGACACACACAGACAUAAACACACUGCUGUGUGGUACAGCGAGAACUGCCAUUCACAAGACUGAGUUUUCAUUUACUUUGACUAAAAAGUCAUAGUUUUAUUUAGUUUUAGCUUAUACAUAGUUUUGGUUACACUAAAAAUUAGUUGGUAUGGACAGGAGAACAAAAUCUGGCUUUUUUCCAUUAUUGUUUAAGCACCAAAAGACCAUUUGAGUAUGUGACAACUUACAAUGCAAAUAUAGAUAGAAAUGCUAAAAGAAUAUAAUAUUCUUAUAGCAAACACUAUGGUCUGGAUAUUGUUAGAGGUUUCUGAUUUUAGUAACACUUUAUUGGGAUAGUCCACCUACAGUUUAUAGAGUUUUUGUAACAUUUCAAUUGCUUUGCUUUGUUGGUAGAUGCUUAGCAGAUGAUAUGAUGAUUAUAUGUGAUGUUAUGUGUGAUUAUGUGUGAUUAUGUUUUUGUACCUAAACCUAACCAAACCUUUACCUGGAGUGGUGUAAUAUCAGAAAACAGUUUUAUUUGUGAAACAGCUGAAUUGUCGAAUCUCAACCAAUAACCUGUGGAAAUGGUACAACUCUAUAAAAUCUGUCGGCAAACAAAUGCAAGUGCUGUCAAUCUUUUGAUAUAUUCAGGAAUAUUCAGAAUGUAAUUAUGUUUUUUCAGCAAAUUCCUUAUUCCUUGACAUUUAAACAAAGAAGUUCUUAAAUGUUAAAUGUCGAAAAAAUAGGCAGCUGUUCUAAAAUUGGCAAAAUUAUAGAUCAACCUAAUAAAGUUAAUAAUCAAGCAAGCAUUUUGAUGCUUUCUCUGUUUGAUAUUUUGUGAAAGUGGGCGUUACAACCACAUUUUGAUAGCAAAAAAGUCGUGAGGUGCAAUACUCAGCCCCACA